rnacentral:lncRNA from 1 species
CGCAUUGCUGUCCCUGCUGCCAUGCCUGCCAGUAAUCCCAGUGCUACAUUCUCCAUCACUCCAUCAAAUGGGUCCCUCUGAACAACCACCUGGUGGGUUCCUUAGUGAAAAGACAGAGGGAGUUUAUUUUGAGCUUGUAGGCUAAUCCAUGUCUGCUAGCAUUUUUGACAGCAUUCUCUGUGCACUGUGCCUGAUGGAAAUUUGGCAGUCAGGUAAGAAAGGUUAGCAGGAUAAGUACACAAUGCACAGAAAGUGGGAGAAACCAAGGAUACGAUACGGUCCCAGAGUUCAUCUUUAGCUCCAGUACCCCAAAAUGUUGCGAGUCCAAGUCACCCCACUGCAUAAGUCAAUUCUAAAAUAUUUUUUAAAUAUUUGGAUUCAAAAUGUUUUUUAUUUUUAUUUUGCAGUUCAAUU